rnacentral:misc_RNA from 1 species
UCCGGUUUGACACCGGCAGUCUCCUAUGAGUCCCCGACAUUACUCGCUGGCAACAUAGGAUAGGGGUUGCGCUCGUUGCGGGACUUAACCCAACACCUCACGGCACGAGCUGACGACAACCAUGCACCACCUGUAUAGGACGCCGAAGCACACCACAUCUCUGUGGCUUUUCCCUAUAUGUCAAGCCCUGGUAAGGUGGGGAUGACGUAAAGGAACACCAAC